rnacentral:rRNA from 1 species
CAGAGGGUGCAAGCGUUGUUCGGAAUUAUUGGGCGUAAAGCGCGUGUAGGCGGCUUUGCAAGUCGGGUGUGAAAUCCCUCAGCUCAACUGAGGAAGUGCGCCCGAAACUGCAGAGCUUGAGUACCGGAGAGGAUGGCGGAAUUCCCCAAGUAGAGGUGAAAUUCGUAGAUAUGGGGAGGAACACCGGUGGCGAAGGCGGCCAUCUGGACGGAUACUGACGCUGAGACGCGAAAGCGUGGGUAGCAAACAGGAUUAGAUACCCUGGUAGUCCACGCCGUAAACGAUGAGAACUAGGUGUCGUGGGUGUUGACCCCCGCGGUGCCGUAGCUAACGCAUUAAGUUCUCCGCCUGGGAAGUACGGCCGCAAGGCUA